CAUGCACCAGUGAGGUCCCUCGGCCUGGCCUGUGCCCUCUUGCAAUCUAGGACCCUCGGGGGAUGUCGGAGAGCCGGUUUCCCGCAGGCCAGGCUGAGGGACCCCACUGGUGCAAG
rnacentral:pre_miRNA from 1 species